rnacentral:rRNA from 1 species
AUUGAACGCUGGCGGCAUGCUUUACACAUGCAAGUCGAACGGUAACAGGCCGCAAGGUGCUGACGAGUGGCGAACGGGUGAGUAAUGCAUCGGAACGUGCCCAGUCGCGGGGGAUAACUACUCGAAAGAGUAGCUAAUACCGCAUACGAUCUAUGGAUGAAAGCGGGGGACCGUAAGGCCUCGCGCGAUUGGAGCGGCCGAUGUCAGAUUAGGUAGUUGGUGGGGUAAAGGCUCACCAAGCCAACGAUCUGUAGCUGGUCUGAGAGGACGACCAGCCACACUGAGACUGAGACACGGCCCAGACUCCUACAGGAAGCAGCAGUGGGGAAUUUUGGACAAUGGGCGCAAGCCUAAUCCAGCAAUGCCGCGUGCAGGAAGAAGGCCUUCGGGUUGUAAACUGCUUUUGUACGGAACGAAACGGCUCUGGUUAAUACCCGGGGCUAAUGACGGUACCGUAAGAAUAAGCACCGGCUAACUACGUG